rnacentral:rRNA from 1 species
CCUACGGGUGGCAGCAGUGAGGAAUAUUGGUCAAUGGGCGGGAGCCUGAACCAGCCAAGCCGCGUGAGGGAAGACGGCCCUGCGUAUUGUAAACCUCUUUUGUCAGGGAACAAAGGCGGGGACUAGUCCCGGGAUGAGGGUACCUGAAGAAAAAGCAUCGGCUAACUCCGUGCCAGCAGCCGCGGUAAUACGGAGGAUGCGAGCGUUAUCCGGAUUUAUUGGGUUUAAAGGGUGCGCAGGCGGCCUGUUAAGUCAGCGGUAAAAGCCCGGGGCUCAACCCCGGCGAGCCGUUGAAACUGGCGGGCUGGAGUUGGAGAGAAGUACGCGGAAUGCGCGGUGUAGCGGUGAAAUGCUUAGAUAUCGCGCAGAACCCCGAUUGCGAAGGCAGCGUACCGGCGCCACACUGACGCUGAGGCACGAAAGCGUGGGUAUCGAACAGGAUUAGAUACCCUGGUAGUC